UACGAAGGGGGGCUAGCGUUGCUCGGAAUCACUGGGCGUAAAGCGCACGUAGGCGGUUUCUUAAGUCAGGGGUGAAAUCCUGGAGCUCAACUCCAGAACUGCCUUUGAUACUGGGAGACUCGAGUCCGGGAGAGGUGAGUGGAACUGCGAGUGUAGAGGUGAAAUUCGUAGAUAUUCGCAAGAACACCAGUGGCGAAGGCGGCUCACUGGCCCGGUACUGACGCUGAGGUGCGAAAGCGUGGGGAGCAACAGG
rnacentral:rRNA from 1 species